AGCAGCCGCGGUAAUUCCAGCUCCAAUAGCGUAUAUUAAAGUUGUUGCAGUUAAAAAGCUCGUAGUUGAAUUUCGGGAUCAAGUCGUCGGUCGUGCUCAGGUACGUACUGGCGUCAUUGAUUUCUCCCUUCUGACGAACCAUGAUGUCAUUAACUUGGUGUCAUGGGAAAUCAGGACUGUUACUUUGAAAAAAUUAGAGUGUUUAAAGCAGGCUCACGCUUGAAUACAUUAGCAUGGAAUAAUGAAAUAGGACGUUCGAUCCUAUUUUGUUGGUUUUAGGAUCAACGUAAUGAUUAAUAGGGAUAGUUGGGGGCAUUAGUAUUCAAUUGUCAGAGGUGAAAUUCUUGGAUUUAUUGAAGACUAACUACUGCGAAAGCAUUUGCCAAGGAUGUUUUCAUUAAUCAAGAACGAAAGUUAGGGGAUCGAAGACGAUCAGAUACCGUCGUAGU
rnacentral:rRNA from 1 species